rnacentral:lncRNA from 1 species
CCAAACCCAAAUUUUCCAUAAACAGGGAAAUGAAAUGCAAAACCCUACAAUACCCUAUAUACAACAACAUAGUCAGCAAAGGCAAACCCAAUUUGGAAUUACGAUACUUACAAGUGCCAGCCAACAAUGGUGUUUCGCUAGACAACCGGCCACAGGAAGUCACGACCUCCCCACCUACUGACCGAACACCCCACAAACGAACGACGCACUGAUGAAGGCUCUGGACACUCUUUUACUUACAAUACCUACAAGUCACAACCCAAAUCAUUUACUCCACCGAACACAUUAACGAUUUGCGGAAAAAAAAUAAAACUUACCAAUGGCUGCGAACGACGACAGAAUGGAUGACCAUCCACACCAGCCGGAGGGACUCCGAUAGCUCACAUGCACCGAACGAAGAAGCACUAAACGACCAGCCACAACAGCCUUUCUGAAGGAAGAGAUUUGCACAAUANGGUUGCAGAGAAUAAGGGUUCUAAGGGUUUCUAAAAAAUUCUAAGGUAUGGGUUCUGUAACUCGAAGAGGGGAAAAUCACCCUAUUUAAUUUCCUGACCCCUUUACCGGCGACGNAAAUCCUUCGGUAAUGACCGCCAAACAUAUCAUUGCAUUUACCGACGGCGUUAAUCCUUCGAUAAUGUUACACCCAACAUUCCGCCGGAAGAUCCUUCGAUAAAACAAUAUUACCGGCGGAANAUAUUCCUUCGGUAAAUUUCCGCCGGAAAUCUCCCCCUUUCUUGUAGUGGUAAGACACACGAAUCGAUGUAACACUCUUAUUAGUGAAGAUAGUGCACCCAACUAGAUGCAACAUAUAUGCUCUGGUAGCGUACUCCC